rnacentral:lncRNA from 1 species
AAAAAUCAAUUAAAAUUAAAGUUAUUUAGUCAUUUUUUUUUUCAAAUAUGAUAUUUAGAGUGUGAUUAAUACUAUGAAAAUCAUAAGUACAAAACUCUGUGAUUUGAACACGAAGAGUUUUGAGUCGAAGUUCGUACUCAUCCUUGAGCAGCCAAGCAUUGUCUAUUCUCGAGUUGUACUACCUUUGUGGAUGCAAAUUUUCUCCUCUUCAAUCUUGGACGAUUUUGCACAUACAAAACAACUAGCACAUUAGGUUAAGGCCAAGAGCCUCACGCGCCCACGAUGAUUGGGGGGCUUUGGCCGAAGAACCUCCGAUGCCAAGUUAGAAUUUAGAGAGAAAUAGUGUUUAGAGAAUUUUGGGAUUUUUGCCAAAGUGUUGGAAUUUUUUUGCUUUUUGGUGAGAAUGGGAGUAUAUUUAUAGGAAUAGGAGGUGGCUAGGGUUUUUAGGUUUAAUUUAGGUUUAAUUAGCCAAUUUAUUUGGCUAUUAAACAUAAGAUGAAUGUUUUGGUGGUUUUUGAAUUUAUUGGGUAAUAAAAAGGAAGAAAUGGUGAAAAAGGUAGAAAAAAGUGAUGGAUUAGGUUUUGAAAUGGGGAUAGCCGGCCAUGUGGUGUUUUAAGGUUGAAUUGGAUGUAUUUUGUAGUUAUUUGGAUAUAAUGGAUGGUUUAAUUGACAAUUAAUGGGUUAAUUAGGCAAUAAACCCAUUAAUUAGCCAAUUAACAUAAUUUAAAAGGAAUGUGUUUGGGAAUUACCUUGUAGAAAGGAUUUGAUGAGAUGGACUUUGAAUUGUUACCUAUUUUGGGCACUUCUGUCUUGGUUGAAAGAGGGUUGUCCGCUGCUUGCGCGUAGGAACCUCGUUGUACUGCAAGGGUAUUUUUGUCAUUUUUGUCCAAAAAUCCACGUGUCGCCCUAUGAAUAUUUUUGGCUCCACAAAUGCCCCCACACCUGUUGGGCUGCUCGCAGAAAAGGGCAGCAGGUGUAGAGAUCUUCUUGCUUUAGGAAACUUAGGACUGCUUCCUAUUUUGAUGUAGAUUCUCUCUUUAAUAGGAAAUUAGAUCCUUCUAGGAAAGGGAAAUAAAUUUCUCUCAAAGCCUAUUUAAAUCCACCUUAAGUGGGUUAUUAAAUCAACUUUGGAGAGCGAUUUAUUCUACCCUACAAGAGAGAGAUAGCUUAGAGGAUAUUUGUUCCCCCUCCUCUAGCAAUCUUCUACAUCUUGCCCGUGCAAAGGACCGUCUUUCGUUGAUUUCUUCGUCUUCUUCGUGGAUAGUGCUACCGCGGGGCAGCCGUCGGGGUGGUGCGGCACGUCGGCUGGCAUGGGCCAGGAGUCGACUCGGCAUGGGCCGAUGAGGUAUUGUGGCAGGGACCACUGCUUUAAGCUGCUCGACUUGGCUAGAACCAAGGGCAGCUUGUGUGGCUGGGACCUCGGAUUGUGGCACUGGGGCGCAGUGUUAGGCAAGUCACAUGGCUCAUGUCUUUUUAGGCUUUUGGACAUGACUCGAGCUAGGCUGGUGAUUGAGAGAAAUGAAGAGGUUGCGAACCUCAUGAACUGCUGGAAUGUUGGGUUGAACUUCCCUGCUAGGUACCACGAAUGACGUUGGCUACUUUAACUCUUUUCGUCAGGAGAAACGUGGGCUAUUCCCAAAAGAUGAGGGGAAUAGGAUCAAAGCGGAUGCUCUGGCUCGUCCAAUCACUGUUGUGGAUCAUGCUGCAAGUGAAGGUGGGAAAAUGGAUCUUCUCUGCUCGCUCAAGAGAUGCCGGCUGAGAAAAAACCAAAGACUUAUUUCGUUGCUCAUGAGGGUUCGCUUGCUACCAAGAGGUAUGUGAUUGACAUGACUUCUUCCAAUGGGAAGAAAUGUAAGGCUGCUAGAUAUGAGCAUGUGGCGUCUUCCAUGUUGAGAAUGGAUAGUACAAUUGUGGAUAAGAUUACUCAGCGUAAAGGUUUUAUCAUGCCCCCAGUGCCGAAGUCUGUACCAGGACGUUCUUUGGGAGCCAAGUCCGGUUCACCUUUGUAGAGACUUGCUAUUAUGAAGAGUGGUAAGGUGGACUCUGCUGCUAAAGUGGCGCCAAAGCCUGCUCCCUUUGCUGCUGAGAUUGAUUCGCCUCAGAUUCAAGAUCUUAAGCUUGCAAUUUCUGAGCUUCGUUUCGCUACUUAUGCUAAGAAGAGAGUGGAUGAGCUGCAGCGCGUCCGUGUUAGUUUGCUUAAGAAGAAUGAGAAACUGAAGGGUGAGAAGGAUGGGCUUGAGGUUUUAAGACCUUCUCUAAUUCUCCGGAAGACUUGCUUGCUUUUACUUUUAAAGCUUCCAUUGGUGAAGUAGUUGGAGAAGUUAGUGCCCAGACUGGGGCAGCCAGGGGUGAAGCGUCGGAUGAUGCCGCUGCUAAGAGCGUUACGGUUGUUGAAGGUGUGGCGACCGAGUAGUCGUGGGAUGUCCAAGCUGCUGUAGUGUAGUAUUUUAGGUAGCCUUUAGGAUUUUCUUUAUUUUUCCUUGUAGCUUUUGUUUUGCUUGAACUCCUUCGGCCUUUGCUAGUUGUUUAUAAACAUGUUUUCCUUCGUUUUUCUUCAUCUUCACUUCUUUUGUUCAUGCCCUAACCUUUAGACUUGAUAGACAAGUGGCAGGCAUGCUACUUUUUUAUAAGCAGACAAACUCGCGUAGCCUAUGCAGCCGUAGGUGUUGGUGUAGAACUUUGCAAAGUUGUUAGCCAUAGGGUUGGCAGCCGGAUGCCUUACUUACAGAAGCAGACAAGUCCGCGUAACCACUAGGCUGUUAACCUUGACUUUCUUCAAUUCCGUAGGUUGCGUAGCAAGUAUCACAACACUUUAGGACUUGGUGUAGGUUGUUCCGCGCUUGGCAGAGGUGAAGCUUAUCGACUACGUAGCAUGUCGGCAAUGGAUAAAACUUCGUAUAUGCGCGCUAGCUUGUUUAACCUUUCACAAGAAUGUGCGGUUGUAUAAGUCUAGUGUGGCUUCACUGCUCGAAGGGCAAGCCGUAGGCAAUCUUCCGGAAUCCGUAGGCUACCUUAGUGCACUCGGUAGCAGCUUUAGGAUUCCAGGGCAGUCGUCCAUCGGAUGUACUGCGUAAUGUGCCAUCUCCGUCUCUAGGGCCCGGUUCCCCACGGAUUAGGCCAAGAGACCCAAAAUCCUUCAGUUAGCUAAGCCUUGAAAAAGACCAUUGCGGCUACUUCUAGGAAUCCCGGCGCAAGCCAUCGUGCAUCUAGUUAUACUAGGGCAGCCAGGCUCAUCCACGUCUGGAUAUUCGGAGUGUAAAGUUUAUCCUCCCGUCUUGGAGAGCUGACCCAUAUGGGUGUCGGAGAAUUGGUUUACCCUCUCGCACUGGAGAGCAUGGUUGGUCCCUCGGGGGCGCAAUUCCUGCGAUGAGUCCCUAAGAAGGGCGCAGUCUUCUUUUGAAGUGCAGGAGUGAUUAGUUGUUGUAAGCAUGCAACCAAGCCAAGUUGUGAUUACUUCUAAAUUCCUCAUUGAAAAACGAGUGAAACGAACAAGAACUUUAGUUGUAAGGUAGGAACUGCAUAACAACCGGAUAGUCCUCAGCUUGUGAGGUGGUGCCCGUCGAGCUUAUUGAGUCUUCGGGUUUUGAUGUAGCGGGAGGUCACGCAUGGUACUUCUUCAGAUUGUAGGCCAUCCAUUUCUUUUCAAUCUUUUUGCCGCUUCAUGGUGGUGAGGGUGUAAUUACUCUUGCCCCCUACUCUGCUGAUCUUGUACGGACCUUCCCAGAUGGGAUCCAUCUUUUUUGAGCCUUCUCUGCCGGCAGUGAUGAAGGCUUUUCUGCGUCGUCGACAUGCAAAUGCCAGAAGUCUCCAUCGGGUGGAGUAGGCACAGCUAGAGUGUGCUCGGCUACUUCUGAGGCAUCGUUGGGCCGAGUUGUUGCGUUCGUCAGAAAACUUUACAUCUGCCAGGGUCUACGCCUUUAUCGUCGCCGGUUUGGAUUCGGCGGAAUAGUGCGUCAUGAUGAUGACUGCAGGUAACUGUAGAAUACAGGUAGUCGGGCCCCCAGCUCUUCUCGCAUGAUGGUAGAGCUUAUUGCUACUUUAGAUACCGUCAAACAUGCGAAUAAGUCCUCCGCUGCUUCUAGGGAGGUGAUGUCGGGUACUUCUUCAAGUCCUUGAAUGUGCAUUGGCGAGCCUCAUCCCAAAGUGCAUGUUUCUCUGCUAAAGCAAAAGAGUCUGCCAGAGUUAGAUCUUCUUUCAUGAUCAAUUUUCCGAAUAGCGGGUGGUCUGCUGGAAGUCCUUUUUGGAAAGCUGCUCUAGCUAUCGAGUCAUUGCAUCCGACUAUUUUUGCCUUCUCUACUUUGAACCUCCUCACGUAAUCGCGAAGCGACUCUUUUGGGUUUUUCUUUACGUUGAACAGGUGAUCGGACUUCUUAUUGAUCGAUCGAUAAGAUGAGUAUUCUUUGGUGAAAACCAAGGAAAGAUCAUCAAAAUUCUGGAUGGAUCGUGCCGGCAAGGUAUGAAACCAAUCUUGUGCCUCGCCUUGUAAAGUAGUGGCGAAUAUUUUGCACAUAAAGGCGUCAUUAUUCCGAUAAAGGACCAUCGCACUUCGGUAAUGCUUCAAGUGUCUUUCCGGGUCUUCAUCCCUUUUAAAAGAUGUGAAAUGUGGCAUGCUGAAAUCGCGUGGAGGCUCUGCCUGCUCAAUCUCCUCCGUGAAGGGUGACCUGCUUAUGUUGGUUAUGUUCCGUCGUAGUGCCUCGUCGGUGACCUCGUUGCGUUGGAAAUCAUGCAAUCGCUUGGUCAAGAGUCUCUCUACUUCUUCCUGAAUUUGCCUUUGUUGGGGUAGCGGAGCUCUCGGCUGCCCCCAGUCAUGACUUGCUGGUCUAGGCUACUCUUCCAUGUGUUUAGCUCGUCUAUGCCGCGGAUGCAGUGCAUGUGAUGCGUUCCUAGUAGGCGAGCGAGUUCUUCGCAUGCUGCUGGUUGAACUUGAGCUAGAUUGAGUGACUGCUUCUCUCCGUCCGUCGUGCUGCCUACUCUGAUGUGAGGUGGAUGACACUCCUUGUGGGCUUAGCUGCGAAUAGACACUUUGCCCGGAAGGUUGUUCAUGUUGACUAUCGGAGUAUAACCCCAACCGUGAAUGUAUGCUCCUCCGUGGGCCUAGUCGAGAGUGCAUGCUCCUUCGCGCUCUAAGACGGGAAUGUACACUGCCCAAACGUUCGGCUCGUGGCUGCUUGCCGGGAUGCUGCUGGAAAUGUCCGUCUGCCCUUGUCCUACUUCGGGAUACCUCGUCCGGGGCACGUUGGAUCCCAAUGUGUUGCAAAAGUUGAUUCACCAAGGUUGUCUGUUGUGCAAGGGCGCUCGUCAACUCUAUGACUUGUCGAGACAAGUGUUGUUCGCCAUUUGGAUUGGAAGAGCUUGGAAGGAAUGUGCCUCCUUGGGUAGUGAAAUGGUGGUAGACUUCGGGCGCGAGAUUUGAGUUGGGAAAUGUCAAACCCGCGAAAAAAUGUGGUGAGAAUGCCCCCGGUUCGAUGGUAGGUCCGGAUGGUUGAGAUAGUCUUGGGCCGACUUGGGCUGCUUGGAAAGCCACUGGAGCAGGAUAGGCAGUGAGAGUGGGCUGCUCGUCGGGAGCAGGCUGGGUCACGGGAAUGGGCUGCUCGACGGAAGCAGGUUGGGCCACGGGAGUCGGCUGCUUGACGGAAGCAGGCUAGACCACGAGAGUGGGCUGCUCGUCGGGAGCAGGUUGGGUCACGAGAACAGGCUGCUUGGCAGGAGCAGGAUGGGCCACGGGAGUGGGCUGCUUGAUGGAAGCAGGCUGAACCACGGGAGUGGGCUGCUCAUCGGCAGCAGGCUGGGUCACGAGAGCAAGCUGCUUGGCAGGAGCAAGCUGGGCCGCGAUAGCAAGUUGCUUGGCGGGAGCAGGCUGGGCCACGGGAUUGGGCUGCUCGACGGAAGCAGGCUGGACCACGAGAGUGGGCUGCUCGUCGGGAGCAGGCUGGACCACCGGAGUGGGCUGCUCGUCGGGAGCAGGCUGAGUCACGAGAGCAGGCUGGGCCACGGGAGUGGGCUGCUCGACGGAAACAGGCUGCUCAAUGCACGGUGCAUGUGAAUGCGAGGCUUGGACUUAGGUCCAUGUAAACUUGGAUGACACGGCUUGGGUCGUGGUCUUAGUACCGUGAGCCUUGGAUGGCACGACUCGGGCCGUGGUGAAGGCUCCAUGGACCUCGCCACAAGUGGCUACCGAAGUAGCCACCGCGGUGGUUCCCAUGGUGGCCGUGGUGAAGGCACCAUGGACCUCGCUGCGGGUGGCUACCGAGGUAGCCACCACGGUGGUUCCCAUUGUAGAAGCUUGUGGUGAUGAUGCCGCUCCCCUUAUUGUCGCAUUUUGCCUCACGGAUCUCCGGGCCGUGGUGAAGGCUCCAUGGACCUCGCCACGAGUGGCUACCGAAGUAGCCACCGCGGUGGUUCCCAUGGUGGCCGUGGUGAAAGCACCAUGGACCUCGCCGCGGGUGGCUACCGAGGUAGCCACCACGGUGGUUCCCAUGGUGGAAGCUCGUGAUGAUGAUGCCGCUCCCCUUAUUGUCGCAUUUAGCCUCACGAAUCUCCGCAAUCCCAUUUCUUGAACAUUAGAAUUUUCACUCGUGGAAUUUUCUAAAUUUCUAGCCAUUAUAUUUUGCUUAUACGUUUUAUCAAAGAACCUUUGCAAAUAAAAAAUUCUAAUAAUAAGAACGUAUGAAAAAUAUUCAAAUGGACUAGAAAAUAAAGAAAAAACCUUUUUUGUGCGAGAGUCUUCUACGAGUAUGGAUUUCAACUCUCAAUGAAAGCACCAAUUUGUGGAUGCAAAUUUUCUCCUCUUCGAUCUUGGACGAUUUUGCACCUACAAAACAACUAGCACCUUAGGUUAAGGCCAAGAGCCUCACGCGCCCACGAUGAAUGGGGGGCUUUGGCCGAAGAACCUCUGAUGCCAAAGUUAGAAUUUAGAGAGAAAGAGUGUUUAGAGAAUUUUGGGAUUUUGGGAUUUUUGCCAAAGUGUUGGAAUUUUUUUGCUUUUUGGUGAGAAUGGGAGUAUAUUUAUAGGGAUAGGAGGUGGCUAGGGUUUUUAGGUUUAAUUUAGGUUUAAUUAGCCAAUUUAUUUGGCUAUUAAACAUAAGAUGAAUGUUUUGGUGGUUUUUGAAUUUAUUGGGUAAUAAAAAGGAAGAAAUGGUGAAAAAGGUAGAAAAAUGUGAUGGAUUAGGUUUUGAAAUGGGGAUAGCCUGCCAUGUGGUGUUUUAAGGUUGAAUUGGAUGUAUUUUGUAGUUAUUUGGAUAUAAUGGAUGGUUUAAUUGACAAUUAAUGGGUUAAUUAGGCAAUAAACCCAUUAAUUAGCCAAUUAACAUAAUUUAAAAGGAAUGUGUUUGGGAAUUACCUUGUAGAAAGGAUUUGAUGAGAUGGAUUUUGAAUUGUUACCUAUUUUGGGCACUUCUGUCUUGGUUGAAAGAGGGUUGCCCGCUGCUUGCGCGUAGGAACCUCGUUGUACUGCAAGGGUAUUUUUGUCAUUUUUGUCCAAAAAUCCACGUGUCGCCCUAUGAAUAUUUUUGGCUCCACAACCUUGAUAAAUAUGGCAUACUCCUAUAUAUGUUUCCUUUUUGGGUUAACUAGUUCUUGAUUGUCAUUUAUUUAUCAAAUAAAUUUGUGUUAUGCAUCAGGGAGGAGAUGUUGGCACACAAUACCGAUCCGGAAUCUACUACUACAACGAAAACCAGGCUCGGCUGGCCGAGGAAUCGAAGGAAGCUAAGCAGGCGGAGUUGAAGGAUAAGAAGGUGGUGACGGAGAUCCUCCCGGCAAAGAAAUAUUACAGGGCGGAGGAAUACCAUCAACAGUAUCUCGAAAAAGGAGGAGGUAAAGGCAACAAACAAUCUGCCGAGAAGGGUUGCACUGAUCCUAUCAGAUGCUAUGGUUGAUAAGUUAUGCAUGCAUUUGAUGCCAUAUGAUUAAAAAUAUUCCUAAAUCGUUGUCACCAACGAUAACAUACGGUGCGUUAAUAUCUACCGUAUCUUAGAUAAAUGAGGUUCGGAGUGAAACUGAAAAUGUACGCAUGAAACACUGUCGCAUUUAAUAGUAUCAUUUGGCACUUAUGUACCCAUAUCGUUUAUGCACAUUUGGCGUCAUGUUUUUAUAUGUCGAAGCUUCUUUUGUACGAGUUUUCGGGUUUAAUUUUCCUACUUGCUUGAUAAAUAAACAAGGUAGAACCAUAAACUCAUGUGCUCACUCAACAUUCAUAAAGGUUUUAAGGUAUCACAGUAUCUUUACCGGUCUAUAAGAUCCACUAGUCCUACCACGAAUGGUAAAAUAGCAAGAUUGUCGAUUGCCAUGGUCAUACAACAUACGCUAACCUCACCCCCAGGGUAUUGGCUAGUAGAUUCUUACCCCUCCGGAGGUUUAAAGGAUCGAAUCUUAUGGUCAACCUGUAAGUGAACUCUUACUCAAGUCAUCACACAAAUAAUACUGCUUAUGUCACAUAAAAAAGAUUAGUACUUUAUGGAGUCAAGACCAGCUUCCUGUUUCCUCAUUUGCACUUAAGUUUGAACCUCCAUUUUUUUUUUGGUAAAGUUUGAACCUCCUUCUUAGUGCACCAACAAAAAAAAAAGCAUGGUAAAAUAGCGAGAUUGUCAAUUGCCAUGGUCAUACAACAUACGCUAACCUUACCCGCAUGGUAUUGGCUAGUAGAUUCUUACCCCUCCGAAGGUUUAAAGGAUCGAAUCUUACAAUCAACCUGUAAGUGAACUCUUACUAUUAAGUCAUCACACAAAUAAUACUGCUCAAGUCACAUAAAAAAUAUUAGUACUUUAUAGAGUCAAGACCACCUUCCCGUUUCCUCAUUUGUACUUAAGUUUGAACCUCCUUGGUUGGUAAAGUUUGAACCUCCUCCUUGCUACACCAACAAAAAAGAAAAAAAAGUAUUAAUUUGAAAGUGUAAAAACAGGAACGACCGGAUUCGAACCUCUGCGGGCAAGCCCACAUAAUUUAUAGUCACGCCCGAUAACCAAUCCGGCACGUCCACCGAUGUCACUUUUAUUGUGCAAUGAUUUUUAAUUAAAACAAUAAAAAACAAAUAAUGCUAUCCACAUUUAUUUAUUUUUGUAUAUACUUUGUUAAUUUUUACUUAUUAAUUUAUUUUAAUUAAAUUUAUUUAAUGGAUGAAAAUUAAUAACAAUAUUUAAGAAAUAAAAAUAAGUGUAUAAAUAGUAUUAACGGUCAACGUACUGUAGAAAAACAACAUAUGAAUACCGACGUGUGGUUGUAAGCCGUUAGCAACGUCUGUAUCUGGCCGGCUAUGGCUGCUAGAUUCAACUACCACACCUCUUCAUAACAGUCCAUCCACUCCCACUCCUCCACAAAAUUCAAUCAGCAAGAAUAAUGGCCGCCGCUUCCGAUAAUUCCGCUGUCAACAACCCGGCUCUGGGCCCGGACUCGGAUACUCCGGACAAUCCGGGUCACGAAUUCGCUCAGUUCGGAUCCGGGUGCUUCUGGGGAGCGGAGCUGAGGUUCCAGCGAGUUGUAGGGGUGGUGAAGACCGAGGUCGGGUACUCCCAGGGCCAUGCGGACGAUCCCAAUUACAAAUUGGUGUGCACCGGAACCACGAACCAUGCGGAGGUGGUUCGGGUCCAGUUUGACCCGGAAGUCUGCCCCUACAAGGAUCUGCUCACUGUGUUUUGGGAUCGCCAUGAUCCAACGACGCUCAAUCGCCAGGUAAUUGGUUUUUGAGUUUUAUGGGCCGUUGAUUUUGUAGCCUGAUCCGGUAUUUUGUUCGCGCCUUCUGCUUUUGACGUAUGGAGUUUUACUUUUGUGCUUAUCAUUGCUUUUGAAUUUAAUCUCUGGCCCUAAAAGACAAAAGUAAAACAACAACAAUUUUGUUUUAUGAUUUUGCCAGUCUCUUAAGAAUUUUUAAAAAUGAUUUCAAAAUAUUUUUGAUAAACGUGUUUUUGAAAUCAAUACUUAGUAAAAAUACAAAUAAAUUAUGAAAAAAGCGGCUGAAGCACUUCUUACAAAAGGCAUAUAAUUGAUGCUUGUUGCAGAAAUACUUCAAGUGAUUUUGGAUCCUAAAAACCUUUUCACCAAAAGUGGUUUUAAUAAUUUUAAAAACACUUCUAAAUGAGCCCUUAAUGAUUGAUAUAUUUCAGCUAAAUUUGUGUUUUUAGGGGAAAAUAAAACUGAAAGGACAUUAAAUAAAAGACACAAGAGUAUUUAAUAUGGAGGUCGUAACUCAAUUGGUAAAUAACAUUUUACCGUUAUUAUGUAGAUUUUGCGUUUGAUUUCAGAUCCCUUAACAUCACUUGUAAAAAGAAAGAGUACUAUACUGCGACUUAUACACAUGUUAUCGCUUGUCUAGUAUCCAAAUUUUAUUUUUAAUUAAAAAUUUGUAACAGAUAUUAUUUGUGUGCAUUUCUCAAAAAUUAUGUGAUGGAGCAAUAACUAGUACAAGGGUGAUUAUGGUAAUAACAUGGGAGCAUUGAAUCAAUGGAUGGUUGCUGACUUGCUUGUGAAUUGAAACAGAAUGGAUGAAUUAACAAUUAAGCAGGCAAGUGAAACUUGAUGUGACAUGUGAUUGAGAUGGGCUCAAGUUGUUCUCGAGAAAUAAUUCAAAUCUGCUCAAAAUUAUUCCUUGCCGAUUUAUAGAAUUUUGUAUUUUUUACUAGAACUGUUCUAAAGUUAUUUAGUCUUUUUUUCUUUCAAAUAUGAUAUUUAGAGUGUGAUUAAUAACAUGAAAAUCAUAAGCACAAAACUCUGUGAUUUGAACACGAAGAGUUUUGAGUCGAAGUUCGUAUUUAUCCUUGAGUAGCCAAGCAUUGUCUAUUCUCAAGUUGUACUACCUUGACAAAUAUGGCAUACUCCUAUAUAUGUUUCCUUUUUGGGUUAACUA